rnacentral:lncRNA from 1 species
UAAAAUUCUGUUUUUUUCCCUCCCAAAAUUAACAGAUUUUAUUUUCUUUAGAGUCACUUUAGUUGUAGCUUUUAUUCCCAAUGUAUAAAUACAUUUGUAUUAUUCCAAUUAAAGGUUAAUGCAAAAAUACAUACUCAUCCAAAUAUUACUCUAUUCUCUCUAUUUUUCUCUCUCAACUUCAUCUUCCCCAAUCUUCUUUUCUUCCACCAUUGUUGAACCUUCAAUUUUCA